rnacentral:rRNA from 1 species
UACGUAGGGUGCUAGCGUUGUUCGGAAUCAUUGGGCGUAAAGCGCGUGUAGGCGGUCUAGUAAGUCGAGUGUGAAAUCCCUGGGCUUAACCGAGGAAGUGCAUUCGAAACUACUAGGCUAGAAGACGGUAGAGGAAGGUGGAAUUCCUAGUGUAGAGGUGAAAUUCGUAGAUAUUAGGAGGAAUACCGGCGGCGAAGGCGGCCUUCUGGGCCGAUCUUGACGCUGAGACGCGAAAGCGUGGGUAGCAAACAGG